UGCAAGUUUUGAGGAUGUAGAAGUUAGGGAUAGGUGGAGAGAGAUGAUUCGCUGUGGCGACCCCUGAAGGGAAAAGAAGAAGAAGAAGAAGAAGAAGAAGAAGAAGAAGAAGAGAGAUCAUUAUAACCACAAUAAAAUAACUGAAAGUCUGGAUGAGGGAUGUGUCGUGUCUGCAGGAGAGCGUCUGGGGACAAUGUUACCUGCUGGCUCCCUGUGAUGGAGUGAAGAAGGCUCAACACCUUCAUGGUGCUCCGUCUUCCCUCUUAACCCUCUGUUCUGAUGUUCCAGUUAACGUCGACGUACAUUAAGGCACCAGAGCAAACAGCCUUGCAGAAAAGCUCCAGAGAGUUCUUCAGAGAGAAUCAGAGACACAUGGACACGGUGCGAUUGGGAAGAUCUACUUCCUGGAGCUCGACAGUGAAAGAUCUGGGUGUUAGACAGCAACUAUAAUACAAACCUUUGAAUAAAGAUUAAUAUGAGAUAGAUUUAAA